rnacentral:lncRNA from 1 species
CGGGAUGACAUGGUUCGACCUGGUUCGAUAUAAUUUCCAAGCAAAUAACAAGCAAAUAACACUAUUCGAUAAAAUAAGUGAUUUUUAAUCUGAUAGCUUAAAUUAACAUCUGCUCAUAUAGUACGGUGACAAAUAAUGUAAAUUUGAAAACUUAAUUGACCGAAAUAACUCACGGCUAAUGUUGGUCUUAUUUUGAUUAAAGUAUGUCGUACAGUGUCAAAGUGGUGCAGAUUUUUGAAAACUGCGGUCAAAGGUCAAAAGGGGGAUUUGAAAAAAAACCGAAAAUUUUAGACAUUUUGGACAAUUUCUUGGUAGUCUCUUAUGUUGACUGAGUUUUUUUUUUCGAUGGAAGCAUGCAUUAGGAAUGCUCCACUAAUACAGCUAGUCAUAUUUAUGUCUGAUUAUCAGAUAUUAGUGACCUAUAAUGAUUAAUUUUUGCAAAUUAUGAC